UCCGGUUGAUCCUGCCGGCGGUCACUGCUAUCAGGUUCCGACUAAGCCAUGCAAGUCAUGGGGCCGUAAGGCACCGGCGAACAGCUCAGUAACACGUGGAUAAUUUACCCUCAGGCGGGGCAUAACCUCGGGAAACUGAGGCUAAUUCCCCAUAGUCAUUACAAACUGGAAUGGUUGUAAUGAUGAAAGCUUUUGCACCUGAGGAUAAGUCUGCGGCCUAUCAGGUAGUAGGUGGUGUAAAGGACCACCUAGCCUAAGACGGGUACGGGCCCUGAAAGGGGGAGCCCGGAGAUGGACUCUGAGACAACAGUCCAGGCCCUACGGGGCGCAGCAGGCGCGAAAACUGUGCAAUGCGCGAAAGCGCGACACGGGGAGCCUGAGUGCCUUGACUUUUUGUCAAGGCUUUUCUGAUGCCUAAAAAGCAUCAGGAAUAAGGGCUGGGCAAGACGGGUGCCAGCCGCCGCGGUAACACCCGCAGCUCGAGUGGUGAUCACUUUUAUUGAGUCUAAAGCGUUCGUAACCGGUCUUAUAAACCUUCAGAUAAAUUCUUCCGCUUAACGGAAGAACUUCUGAAGAGACUGUAAGACUUGGGACCGGGUGAGGUUGAAUGUACUUUCAGGGUAGGGGUAAAAUCCUGUAAUCCUGAAAGGACGACCGGUGGCGAAAGCGUUCAACUAGAACGGAUCCGACGGUGAGGGACGAAGGCUAGGGGAGCAAACCGGAUUAGAUACCCGGGUAGUCCUAGCUGUAAACGCUGCCCACUUGGUGUUGCUUCUCCGUUGAGGGGGGGCAGUGCCGUAGCGAAGGUGUUAAGUGGGUCACUUGGGGAGUACGGCCGCAAGGCUGAAACUUAAAGGAAUUGGCGGGGGAGCACCGCAACGGGAGGAGCGUGCGGUUUAAUUGGAUUCAACGCCGGG
rnacentral:rRNA from 1 species